rnacentral:rRNA from 1 species
UGCCAGACUCCUACGGGAGGCAGCAGUGGGGGAUAUUGCACAAUGGGGGGAACCCUGAUGCAGCGACGCCGCGUGGGUGAGGAAGUACCCCGGUAUGUAAAGCCCUUUCGGCAGGGAAGAAAAUGACGGUACCUGGCGAAGAAGCCCCGGCUAACUACGUGCCAGCAGCCGCGGUAAUACGUAGGGAGCGAGCGUUGUCCGGAAUUACUGGGUGUAAAGGGAGCGUAGGCGGGGAUGCAAGUUGGGUGUCAAAACUACCGGCUCAACUGGUAGUCGCACUCAAAACUGCAGCUCUUGAGUGAAGUAGAGGCAGGCGGAAUUCCUAGUGUAGCGGUGAAAUGCGUAGAUAUUAGGAGGAACACCAGUGGCGAAGGCGGCCUGCUGGGCUUUUACUGACGCUGAGGCUCGAAAGUGUGGGGAGCGAACAGGAUUAGAUACCCCGGUA